rnacentral:lncRNA from 1 species
UUUCAACACCAUGGCCAAUCCUGGGAACAGAAGAGGGAUCUACCGCCCCUUGACCCUUACCUGCUCCCUGCUCAUUGUGGGAAUGUGCUGUGUGUCUCCUUUCUUCUGCCAUAGCCAGACAGACCUGCUGGCCCUUAAUCAAGCUGAUCCUCAGUGUUGGGAAUCUUCUUCAGUGCUCCUCCUAGAAAUGCGGAAGCCUCGAAUUUCUAACACUGUUUCAGGUUUCUGGGAUUUUAUGAUCUACCUAAAGUCGUCUGAGAACUUGAAGCACGGGGCACUGUUUUGGGAUCUGGCCCAACUCUUCUGGGACAUCUAUGUGGACUGUGUCCUCUCCAGGAACCAUGGCUUAGGAAGGAGGCAAUUGGCUGGGAAGGAAGAGGAGAUUUCAGCAGUGCGUCCACAGCACACAGGGAGAAAACAAGGUGGUGAACUCUAGAUCCCCGUGUUUUUCGAAAGGGUCAAUGAAGUAUGAAUGUGAUGAAUUGUGAGGAAGAGGGAAAUGGCUUUCGGGGAAUCCAUUGCCACAUAUAUUCCUCUCAGGGGUGAACCCAAGAGCACAUAAGUGAUAGGAAGAUAGCACUGCCUUUUGCAUUUCAUGGUAGCUGUUUGUAUCAACAUAUUGUCAUUUUCAUACUUCAUGUAAACAGCAGCAAAGAAGAGUCAAAAAGGCAAGUAAGGAAAGGCAUGAUUCUCAAAAUACAACGUAAAGGCAUAAAGCGAUUAGCCUGAAUAUUAGCAGUCAUAACCUGUCUUUGCAUGCUAUGGGUUUGGGAAGAUUUGAAUGUAAGUCUGGGGAAUAUUCACAGCACGCAAGCUCUUGCCUCUUUUAAAUAGAAAAAAAGACUGCUUUCAUGUAAAUGGAGAGGCUCCUUGUAAUGUACUUAGUUGGUGAAGUAAAGGGCAGAAAAAUUGGCUAGCUUGCAGAUUCACUCCUUGUUGCUUUUUGAACACAUCUCAAAUAUGUAAUUAACUUCCAGCAAGUUGAAUGAUUAAUUUUUAGUAAUUUGGAACUUCUGACAAAUUUAGAGAUUCUCACUGGUGUAAAUAUUUUAUUAAAAAACAGUCUUCUCUGGGGGCACUAGAAGAAGUAUCCUUUAUAGAAUUAGAAUUAGAGCAAGUGAGCCCCUAUGAGUAAGCUGAGAGAUAGAUACCCUGGCCCUAUUCAUAUUGUUUUUGUUCCAUUUUUAGAGUUGUUUCAACCAAUGAGCUUGCAAUCCUUGCAGCAAAUCCUGUUUGGGUGCUAAGAAUCAUUUAAGCAAUAGUGCAAAACUGAGGCAUAAAUAAAAUUUACAUUUGUAUAUUUUAUUGUGAGAACUGUUAUAAUCCCUAUAAUUUCCCUAUUAAAACAGCACUUAACAGUAAUAUUUCUAGAGCAACACUUUUCCGAGAUUGUAGAGCUUUUAUAUAUCUAGUUUGCUUUAACCUCACUAAAAAUCUUAUGAUUUGCUGAUCCAUUAAACCAGAUAAUCCUCUGCUGUUAUUUAUAGAUAAAUUUAUUAUUUUGGCAAGUGUCAUUGUAACUUAAACCAAUUUCCGUAUUUAGAGGAAAUAUUCUUCUAUCAGCUUAGCUACUAAAGAAAUACAAAAAUAAGCGUCUUUCAAUGUUGGUUACCAAUAUUUAAAAAUUAUUUAAACAGAGGCUGUUUAGACAUCAGCAUCAAGAGAAUUACAUACUUUCUUCACUUGCAGUCAAAUGCUCUACCCCUGUAUAUUUUCUUCAUUUGUACUGUAGGACUCUUUCUUCCAUUCUUACCAUAUUUAGUUGUCAUACUCAAAUCACUACCAAUAUUUAUCUUUUAUAUUUGCACUCACUUUGAAUUACUAAAUUAUCUAUAGAAAAAAAUGAAUGUAAUAAUAUUUGUGUUCAGAUGAACACGAGAAUAAGUAUACACACACACAAGGUCUUUCUCUAAAGCAGCUUUCAGUUUGCUUGCUUGCAAUGUGGCUAUCAGAAUAGUCAGAAGCUUCAUGUAAUUUUUGGAGCAUAUUUCAACAUAGCAUUUCUAUCUUCUUAUUCUUCUUCUUUUUAAAGGCAGUAGAUUUAUCUUCAGCUUUGGAAGCCACUUUUUUAAUCUUGCUACAGAGUUGCUGUUGACUCAGCUGGUCUGCAAACUUUAGUCAGAGUGACUAUGUAGCAGGAGGGAACAUUCCACUUUAUUGGAGUUAUUUUAAUGUUUGACAUAAACAACUGUUUGCAGAUCAGGAAACAAAGCUUUCCAUUUUGAUUGUAUCAUCACAGUCAAAGAGGGUCUUGGGUCAAGAAGACACCGUGUCUAAAAGUUAAAUAGUUGCUGGAACAUCGAGAUUUCAUCUCAAGAGGCUUGCUGAAAUCUCUAGUGGCUCAGCGGGGCUCUGGAUGUACCUGCACGGAUUCUCCACUAACUUUUUCUAUUGUCCUUGGGGGAUUAAUAUGCUACCAGGUUGGGAUGGGGGUGAGGGUAAAGAGAUGUUUGUCUCUCUAGUUCUCAGGGAAAUCAAAUCACCAGAGCAGAAGGGAAGAACUAAUAUGUCUACAUAAUAUGCAAAAGGGUUCUUAUUUUGAUAUCUUCAAGUUUAAUAGUUUAAAUACACUUGAGAAUUGUUGCUAUCAGUCAUUGCUAAAAACAUGAAACUCCUGGGCACCUGGGUGGCUCAAUUGGUUGAGCAACUGACUCUUGAUUUUGGCUCAGGUCAUAAUCCCAAGAUUGUGGGAUCAAGCCUGCAUUGGGCUCCACACUGAGUAUGGAGCCUGCUUAAGAUUCUUCCUCUCUCUGUCUCUCUUCCUCUGCCUCUUCCCCCUCCUUCUCUAAAACAAAACAAAACAAAAAAAUUAAAAAAAAAACCAAACCAUAAAACUCCUAUUUUGUAUGCCAGUAUAUCCUCUUUGUUACUAUUGGGCCAAAAACUAUGAAAACAAGAGAUAUUAAAUAGCUAUGCAACCUCAGUCAACUUAUUUAGCCCUCAGUUUCUUCAUCUGAAAAAGAGGGGUGUGGAAAGAAUUAGAUGAACUGUAAAGUCUCUUUAUGUUCUCCUUUCUAAUGUUCUGUGAUUCUAUAAAAAAGAAAUUUAUGAGAGGCAUGUAUUUAACAAUCAAUAGAGUCUGGAAGAGCUUUACCCCAAGGACAGCUUGUUGAGCUGGGUGAUGACGUAGAUACUAUAGUUGUUUAUAACAGUGCUAAACAGGAACAGAGGGAAUCUAGAAAUGAGAAUUCCAAAAAUUCUGAGGUCUAGAUGUGUUCUCACUUGAGAAAAGACUCAAAAGAUCAUUGUUAGUUUGUCUAGAAAGGAUGAGUUAUUAACUGAGUGCUGUAAUAUCCAGAAGGUGUGAAAAUGGUGUAACCGGCCUUAACCACCAAAGUAUGAUGAAUUUUGUCAAGGCAGAAGGAGGGAGAGAGUUAUUAAUUGAUUUAGGAAAAGAGUAGGCUGAUAACUUCCAAAUAGAAAAUGACCAAUUUGACGUUAACUCAUGGGUUAGUAAAGGCUUCAAUGCAAAUGAAGGGAUUUUGAAGUAUAUCCUUGUUUGUGUCAAAAACCGAUGGCCCUUUCCUUCAACAAAUCAUGCUUUGCCAGUGAGAGAAAUAAAAAAAAAAAACCUGCCUGCCUGAGACUGGCAGUUUGUAUGUUCUAGAAAAAUUGGGAGUCUUUGCAUUCCUUCAUGAUAAGAACAUUAAAAUUCAGAUUUAUAAUUUGAUGAUAUUUGCGGUUGGUGUCUAACUAGCUGGUAAAUGUUAGUGCUUGUUUUUGUAAAGCACCAAGCAUUAGAGAAAACAGUGCUUCGGGAAUAUAAAUAAUUAGAUGCACCAAUGUUUGAUUUUUUUUACUUUACUUACUCCAAGAAAUUUCCUAGAGACAUCUUUAGAAAUUACUUAUCUAGAACUCUACCCUAAAGAAAUAUUCAGAGAUGUAACCAAUUGUGCAGUACAUGAAUCUUCACUGCAAUGCUAUUUAUAACAGUAGAAAAUGUGGAAAUAAUUGGAACGUCGCACAAUAAGGUAAUGGUUCGCUAAAUUAUGGUAUAAAGUGUGUAUGCAUAAAAUUAUGGUUAUCUCUGAAAGAUUAUAUUAUGGGUAAUUUAAGUUUUUUCUGUAUAUUUUUGUAUUAAAAAUUAUAUAAUGACCACUUUUACUUGUUUAGUCAGAACAUAUCUUAAUACAUACAUUUUAGUUAACAAGGACAUGUCUUUAUUAUACUUUACUUAGGUUAUUUAACUAAACUGCAAAGGACACAUAAACACAGAUUUACAUACACACUCCUGCAAUAAAUUUAUACAGACUUCUGAUAGAGUGACAGAAAUAACAAACUUUAAGACCAAUUUAUUGACAUUUAAUUAACCUGAGAAUAAUUUGGUGCUCUAACGACUAGUUCCUUUUCUCUGCUUUCAGGUGCAUAUUCUCAGCAGCUAAGAACACCUUUCCUAAAGAAGAAAGAGUUGAUUGAAGGUGUGAUAAGCAUGCACUUGCACGGAAGUGGGUCUAAGCUCAUUGGGAAAGUCACCCGUGGCCUGGAAAUAAAGAGAAAGUAAAUCUAACCUCAGAGCUAACUCGUAUCUCGAAACUAAAAAAACACUGUUUCCUUGACUCUUGAUCAUUUAAUUACUUGAAAUGGUGGGAAUGUCCAGAGGUAAAUAUUAAGCCAUGUUCUCUCAGCAUACCUACUUAAGGUUUUUCAUUAUUUUAGCCUGCUAGCAUGUUCCUUCAAAGGGUGGCUUUACUGCCA